rnacentral:rRNA from 1 species
UCGAACGCGAAGGAAGUCUUCGGACUUCUGGAGAGUGGCGCACGGGUGAGUAACACGUGGGUAAUCUGCCUUUGGGUGGGGAAUAACGGCCCGAAAGGGUCGCUAAUACCGCAUAACGCAGCGGCACCGCAUGGUGACAGUUGUUAAAGGGGGGGAUCGAAAGACCUCUCGCCUGAAGAGGAGCCCGCGUCCGAUUAGCUAGUUGGUGAGGUAAUGGCCCACCAAGGCAUCGAUCGGUAGCCGGCCUGAGAGGGCGGUCGGCCACACUGGCACUGAGACACGGGCCAGACUCCUACGGGAGGCAGCAGUGGGGAAUUUUGGGCAAUGGGCGCAAGCCUGACCCAGCAACGCCGCGUGAAGGAUGAAAUCCCUCUGGGAUGUAAACUUCGAAAGUCGGGAAAGAAAUCGCCAUGGAUAACACCCGUGGUGGAUGACGGUACCCGACGUAAGCCCCGGCUAACUACGUGCCAGCAGCCGCGGUAAUACGUAGGGGGCAAGCGUUGUUCGGAAUUACUGGGCGUAAAGGGCGCGUAGGCGGCAUGGCAAGUCGGGAGUGAAAGCCCGGGGCUCAACCCCGGAACUGCUUUCGAAACUGCCAAGCUAGAGUACGGAAGGGGCUACUGGAAUUCCCAGUGUAGCGGUGAAAUGCGUAGAUAUUGGGAAGAACACCGGAGGCGAAGGCGGGUUGCUGGGCCGAUACUGACGCUGAGGCGCGAAAGCCAGGGGAGCAAACGGGAUUAGAUACCCCGGUAGUCCUGGCCCUAAACGAUGGAUACUUGGUGUGUGGGGUUCUCAAAGUCCCCGCGUGCCGGAGCUAACGCGUUAAGUAUCCCGCCUGGGGGAGUACGGUCGCAAGGCUGA